GUGUGGAGCCAAAAAUAUUCACUAGGCGACACGUGGACUUUUGGACAAAAGAGGACAAAAAUACCCUCGAGGCAUACCGGGUUUCCUACACGCGAGCAGUAGAGAAUCAUUUUUUCAACCAAGUCAAAAGUGCCCAAAAUAGGUAUCAACUUAAAACCUAAUUUAUUCAUAUAUUUCCCAUUUCAUUAUUUAGCUAAUCAAUUAGCUAAAUAAUAUACUUAUUCCUUUCAUAUUUCAUAAAAUCAUAAUAAAUUGACUAAUUAAGGGAUUAAUUACCUAAUCAAUCCCUUAAUUGUCAAUUUGAAACAUCCACUCAAACCUAAAAACACAAGAGGGCCGGCUAUCCCAUUGAAAAACCUAAUCCAUUACCUUUUUUCUACCUUUUCCCACCAUUUUCUUCCUUUUUAUUAGCCAAUUAUACAAAAAACCACCAAAACAUUCAUUUUAUGUUUAAUAGCCAAAUAAAUUGGCUAAUUAAACCUAAAAACCCUAGCCACCUCCUAUCCCUAUAAAUAUACUCCCAUUCUCACCAAAAAGCUAAUUCCAACACUUUGGUAAAAAUCCCAAAAUUCUCUAAACACUCUUUCUCUCUAAAUUCUAACUUUGGCAUCGGAGGUUCUUCGGCCAAAGCCCCCUCCAUUCAUCGUGGGCGCGUGAGGCUCUUGGCCUUAACCUAAGGUGUUAAUUGUUUUGUAGGUGCAAAAUCGUCCAAGAUCAAGGAGGAAGAAAUUUGCAUCCACAAAUUGGUGCUUUCAUUGAGAGUUGAAAUCCAUACUCGUAGAAGACUCUCGCACAAAAAAGGUUUUUUCUUUAUUUUCUAGUCCAUUUGAAUAUUUUUCAUACGUUCUUAUUAUUAGAAUUUUUUACUUGCAAAGGUUCUUUGAUAAAACGUAUAAGCAAAAUAUAAUGGCUAGAAAUUUAGAAAAUUCCACAAGUGAAAAUUCUAAUGUUCAAGAAAUGGGAUUGCGGAGAUCCGUGAGGCUAAAUGCGACAAUAAGGGGAGCGGCAUCAUCAUCACGAGCUUCAACCAUGGGAACCACCGUGGUGGCUACUUCGGUAGCUACCCGCGGCGAGGUCCAUGGUGCCUUCACCACGGCCACCAUGGGAACCACCGCGGUGGCUACUUCGGUAGCCACUCGUGGCGAGGUCCAUGGAGCCUUCACCACGACCCGGAGAUCCGUAAGGCAAAAUGCGACAAUAAGGGGAGCGGCAUCAUCACCACGAGCUUCCACCAUGGGAACCCACCGUGGUGGCUACCUCGGUAGCCACCCACGGCGAGGUCCAUGAUGCCUUCACCACACGGCCACCAUGGGAACCACCACGAUGGCUACUUCGGUAGCCACUCGUGGCGAGGUCCAUGGAGCCUUCACCACGGCCCGAGCCGUGCCAUCCAAGGCUCACGGUACCAAGACCACGAUCCAAGCCGUGCCAUCCAAGUUCACGUGGACCCAAGCCCAAGCCUCGCAUUCACAUGCACCGCGUAUUGAGCAGCCUACUCCCGUGAUCCAGCCUGCUCCCGUCGAGCAACCCACUCCCGUGGCCCAGCCUGCUCCUGCCAAGCAGCCCACUCCCGUGGCCCAGCCUACUCCUGCCAAGCAGCCUACUUCCGUGGCCCAGCCUGCUCCCGCCAAGCAACCUGCUCCUGCCAAGCAGCCUGCUUCCGUGGCCUAGCCUGCUCCCGCCAAGCAACCUGCUCCUGCCAAGCAGCCUGCUCUCGUGACCCAGCCUGCUCCCAACGAGCAGCCCACUCUCAAGGCCCACACUGCUCCCGUGGCUUUCCAAGCAGCCCAAGUCGGCCCAAAACUAUCUCAACCAUCUGGACCUACCAUCGAGCCGGGGGCAUUCUCACCACAUUUUUUCACGGAUUUGACAUUUCCCAACUCAAAUCUCGCGCCCGGAGUCUACCACCAUUCCACUGCUCAAGGAGGCGCAUUCAUUCCAAGCUCUUCCAAUCCAAAUGGCGAACAACACUUGUCUCGACAAGUCAUAGAGUUGACGAGCGCCCUUGCACAACAGACAACUUUGGUGAAUCAACUUUUGCAACGCAUCGGGAUCCAACAUGCCCCGGACGAGGUAUCCCGAAGUAGGACAAGGGCAGACGAACCUUUCCAGCAGCAUCCCAGCAAGCAGCCAUUCGACCAGCCACGAGUUGAACGUUCAGGCAGUGUACAUUCCCGAUUGGGCCCCCGAGAUAGCGUAUACUCCCGUUUUAGCGCGCGGAUGAGCGUGUACUCUCGACUAAGCCAACGGAUGAGCAUACAUUCACGGUUGGGGUCACACUCCGAUAGUCAACAUGAGCAACCUUCCAGACAAAGUGUUCAUUCGCGGCUAAGCCCACAAGGAGCAUCAUCCACCUCACAUCAGAGUAGGCAGCACGACGGACGGAGAGAAGCAGUCACUCAAUCCAGCUCAAGUUCAACCAGCAGCCUGCGAAGAACUCGCUCGCCUGCUAGGAAUGCACCAUAUGCACUGCAUAUGCGGCAUAAACGAGCCAAACACAUGGAAGAGCAGCCUAGACCAGCAAGUCAUGGCUGGGGGCAGCCGAGAGCUGCACUACCCCAACAAAGGCAAAUUCAGGAAGAAGUAGAGAGACUCUUGACCAAGCGAUUGCAUGAUUUCCAACGCAAUGAGGUCACCGACGAGGCACUACGAUGGAACAUGACCAACAUAAGCAGGUCACCCUUCACGGACGAGAUCGAGCAGGCAGAGCCUCCACGAGAGUUCAGCAUGCCAUAUUUCACAUCUUUCAAAGGGGAUGAAGACCCGGAGAGACACUUAAAGCGCUACCGAAGUGCAAUGAUCCUUUAUCGAAACAACGAUGAGCUCAUGUGCAAGAUAUUCGCCACCACUCUACAAGGCGAGGCGCAAGAUUAGUUCUACACCUUGCCGCCACAAUCCAUCCGGGAUUUCUACGAACUUUCUUUGGUUUUCACCAAAGAAUAUUCAUCCUAUCGCUCGAUCAAAAAGAAGUCUGAUCAUUUGUUCAACGUCAAGAAGAACCCAAAGGAGUCGCUUCGCGACUAUGUGAGGAGGUUCAAAGUAGAGAAGGCAAAAAUAGUCGGAUGCAACGACUCGAUAGCUAGAGCAGCCUUCCAAAAAGGACUUCCAGCAGACCACCCGCUAUUCGGAAAAUUGAUCAUGAAAGAAGAUCUAACUCUGGCAGACUCUUUUGCUUUGGCAGAGAAGUAUGCACUUUGGGAUGAGGCUCGCCAAUGCACAUUCAAGGACUUGAAGAAGUACCCGACAUCACCUCCCUAGAAGCAGUGGAUGACUUAUUCACAUGUUUGACGUUAUCUAAAGUAGCAAUAAGCUCUACCAUCAUGCGAGAAGAGAUGGGGGCCCGACUACCUGUAUUCCACAGUUACCUGUAUUCUACAGUUCAAAAGCUCUCCUCGAUGUUAUUAAAAAUUCAAAAGUUAACUUUGGCGAUAGUUGUUGCAAUAAGCUCUACCAUCAUGCGAGAAGAGAUGGGGGCCCGACUACCUGUAUUCCACAGUUACCUGUAUUCUACAGUUCAAAAGCUCUCCUCAAUGUUAUUAAAAAUUCAAAAGUUAACUUUGGCGAUAGUUGUUGCAACCUAGAAGCACAAAUUUUACUUUCAAACGCAUGCAAUCAUCCUAAUGACGUACUAUUCUGCCCAAUCCAGACGCGCGACGAUAAAGGCGUAGACCCUGGCGGAUGUAAAGUUUUCUGAUGAACGCAACACUGGAAAGACACACUUGAAAGCAAGUUUUAUCCUCGUCACCCUGAAAGAUUCUACAUAGGAGCAACAUGUACCGGCAGUUGAGUACCAUUUCUUGCUGCGCAUCAUACGGCCCUAGCCGACCCUUGCUCAAUGAUUCAACUCUAGAGUGGCCCAAUACCGGCAGUUGAGCAUCUCCUGUUGCGUAUGACAUGGCCCCAUCUCCACAGCUCCCUACUGCACCUUCACGCCGAGCCUAGGUGACGCAACAAAGCGGCCCAACGAUGCCUCAGAAGUAGCCGAGCACACUCUAGCUGCGCCUACUCCACCCGAUGGAGACUUCUGCCAUUUACAUGUCGACGGCGCAGAAAAACCUUCGUCACUGCCGGCAGAGAAGGCUCCAAAAAGAUGGAUCCCAUCUGGGAAGGUCCGUACAAGAUCAGCAGAGUAGGGGGCAAGAGUAAUUACACCCUCACCACCAUGAAGCGGCAAAAAUAUUGAAAAAAAAAUGGAUGGCCUACAAUCUGAAGAAGUACCAUGUGUGACCUCCCGCUACAUCAAAACCCGAAGAUUCAAUAAGCUCGACGGGCACCACCUCACAAGCUGAGGACUAUCCAGUUGUUAUGCAGUUCCUACCUUACAGCUAAAGUUCUCGUUCGUUUUACUCGUUUUUCAAUGAGGAAUUUAGAAGUAAUCACAACUUGGCUUGGUUGCAUGCUUACAACAACUAAUCACUCUUGCACUUCAAAAGAAAACUGCACCCUUCUUAGGGACUCAUCGCAGGAAUUGCGCCCCCCGAGUGACCAACCAUGCUCUCCAGUGCGAGAGGGUAAACCAAUUCUCCGACACCCAUAUGGGUCAACUCUCCAAGACGGGAGGAUAAACUUUACACUCCGAAUAUCCAGACAUGGAUGAGCCUGGCUGCCCUAGUAUAACUAGAUGCACGAUGGCUUGCGCCGGGAUUCCUAGAAGUAGCCGCAAUGGUCUUUUUCAAGGUUUAGCUAACUGAAGGAUUUUGGGUCUCUUGGCCUAAUCCGUGGGGAACCGGGCCCUAGAGACGGAGAGGGCACAUUACGCAGUAUAUCCGAUGGAUGGCUGCCCUGGAAUCCUAAAGCUGCUACCGAGUGCACUAAGGUAGCCUACGGAUUCCGGAAGACUGCCUACGGCUUGCCCUUCGAGCAGUGAAGCCGCACUAGACUUAUACAACCGCACAUUCUUGUGAAAGGUUAGACAAGCUAGCGCGCAUAUACGAAGUUUUAUCCACUGCCGACAUGCUACGUAGUCGAUAAGCUUCACCUCUGCCAAGCGCGGAACAACCUACACUAAGUCCUAAAGUGUUGUGAUACUUGCUACGCAACCUACGGAAUUGAAGAAAGUCAAAGUUAACAGCCUAGUGGUUACGCGGACUUGUCUGCUUCUGUAAGUAAGGCAUCCGGCUGCCAACCCUAUGGCUAACAACUUUGCAAAGUUCUACACCAACACCUACGGCUGCAUAGGCUACGCGAGUUUGUCUGCUUAUAAAAAAGUAGCAUGCCUGCCACUGGUCUAUCAAGUCUAAAGGUUAGGGCAUGAACAAAAAAAGUGAAGAUGAAGAAAAACGAAGGAAAACAUAUUUAUAAACAACUAGCAAAGGUUGAAGGAGUUCAAGCAAAACAAAAGCUACAAGGAAAAACAAAGAAAAUCCUAAAGGCUACCUAAAAUACUACACUACAGCAGCUUGGACAUUCCACGACUACUCGGUCGCCACACCUUCAACAGCCGUAACGCUCUUAGCAGCGGCAUCAUUCGGCGCUUCACCCCCGGCCGCCCCAGUCUGGGCACUAACUUCUCCAACUACUUCACCAAUGGAAGCCUUAAAAGUAAAAGCAAGCAAGUCUUCCGGAGAAAUAGAGAAGCUCAUCCACUCUCUUCUUAGCAUAAGUAGCGAAACGAAGCUCAGAAAUUGCAAGCUUAAGAUCUUGAAUCUGAGGCGAAUAAAUCUCAGCAGCAAAGGGAGCAGGCUUUGGCGCCACUUUAGCAGCAGAGUCCACCUUACCACUCUUCAUAAUAGCAAGUCUCUACAAAGGUGAACCGGACUUGGCUCCCAAAGAACGUCCUACAGACUUCGGCACUGGGGGCAUGAUAAAACCUUUACGCUGAGUAAUCUUAUCCACAAUUGUACUAGCCAUUCUCAACAUGGAAGACGCCACAUGCUCAGAUUUAGCAGCCUUACAUUUCUUCCCAUUGGAAAAUCAUGUCAAUCACAUACCUCUCGGUAGCAAGCGGACCCUCAUGAGCAGCAGAAGAAGUCUUCAGUUUUUUCUUAACUGGCAUCUCAUGAGCAGGCGGGGAAGAUCUCUUCUUUCCAUCUUCAUUCAUAGUAAGCUCCACGACAGCGAUCAGACGAGCCAAUGCAUCCGCCUUGAUCAUCUUUACCUCCUCUUUCUGGAGCAGCCCACAUUUCUUUCGGCAAAGAGGACUAAGCAGCCAACGACAUUCAUGGUACUCAGCAGGGGAGCUCAACCUAGCAUUCCAACAGGCAGGAGGCCUGCAUGCCCAACAUUCCAGCAGCCCAUGAGACCCGCAAUCUCCUUAUUUCUCUCAAUCACCAGCCUGGCCCGAGUCAGGUCCAAGAGCCCAAAGGACAUGAGCCAUGCGGCUCGCCUAGCACUGCGCCCCAGCGCCACAAUCCGCGACCCUAGUUGCAUAAGCUGCCUUUUGGCUCAAGCCAAGCCAAGCUGCCCAAGCAGUGGUCCCUGCCACAACAUCUCCUCGGCCCAUGCCGAGCCAACUCCUGGCCCCUGCCAGCCGAUGUGCCGCACCACCCCGACGGCUGCCCCGCAAUAGCACUAUCCAAGAAUAAGGCAAGAAAAAUUAAAUUUUUCUUACAUCGGUGCGGCACGAAGAAGACGAAGAAAGCAACGAAAGACGGUCCUUUGCACGGGCAAGAUGUAGAAGAUUGCUAGAGGAGGGGGAACAAAUAUCCUCUAAGCUAUCUCUCUCUUGUAGGGUAGAAUAAAUCGCUCUCCAAAGUUGAUUUAAUAACCCACUUAAGGUGGACUUAAAUAGGCUUUGAGAGAAAUUUAUUUCCCUUUCCUAGAAGGAUUUAAUUUCCUAUUAAAGAGAGAAUCAACAUCAAAAUAGGAAGCAGUCUUAAGUUUCCUAAAGCAAGAAGAUCUCUACACCUGCUGCCCUUUUUUGCGAGCAGCCCAACAGGUGUGGGGGCAUUUGUGGAGCCAAAAAUAUUCACUAGGCGACACAUGGACUUUUGGACAAAAGAGGACAAAAAUACCCUCGAGGCAUACCGGGUUUCCUACACGCGAGCAGUAGAGAAUCAUUUUUUCAACCAAGUCAAAAGUGCCCAAAAUAGGUAUCAACUUAAAACCUAAUUUAUUCAUAUAUUUCCCAUUUCAUUAUUUAGCUAAUCAAUUAGCUAAAUAAUAUACUUAUUCCUUUCAUAUUUCAUAAAAUCAUAAUAAAUUGACUAAUUAAGGGAUUAAUUACCUAAUCAAUCCCUUAAUUGUCAAUUUGAAACAUCCACUCAAACCUAAAAACACAAGAGGGCCGGCUAUCCCAUUGAAAAACCUAAUCCAUUACCUUUUUUCUACCUUUUCCCACCAUUUCUUCCUUUUUAUUAGCCAAUUAUACAAAAAACCACCAAAACAUUCAUUUUAUGUUUAAUAGCCAAAUAAAUUGGCUAAUUAAACCUAAAAACCCUAGCCACCUCCUAUCCCUAUAAAUAUACUCCCAUUCUCACCAAAAAGCUAAUUCCAACACUUUGGUAAAAAUCCCAAAAUUCUCUAAACACUCUUUCUCUCUAAAUUCUAACUUUGGCAUCGGAGGUUCUUCGGCCAAAGCCUCCCCCAUUCAUCGUGGGCGCGUGAGGCUCUUGGCCUUAACCUAAGGUGUUAAUUGUUUUGUAGGUGCAAAAUCGUCCAAGAUCAAGGAGGAAGAAAUUUGCAUCC
rnacentral:lncRNA from 1 species